rnacentral:rRNA from 1 species
CGGGUGAGUAACGCGUGGGUAACCUGCCUCACACUGGCGGAUAACAGUUAGAAAUAGCUGCUAAUACCGCAUAAGCGCACGGUUCCGCAUGGAACAGUGUGAAAAACUCCGGUGGUGUGAGAUGGACCCGCGUCUGAUUAGCCAGUUGGCGGGGUAACGGCCCACCAAAGCGACGAUCAGUAGCCGGCCUGAGAGGGUGAACGGCCACAUUGGGACUGAGACACGGCCCAAACUCCUACGGGAGGCAGCAGUGGGGAAUAUUGCACAAUGGGGGAAACCCUGAUGCAGCGACGCCGCGUGAGUGAAGAAGUAUUUCGGUAUGUAAAGCUCUAUCAGCAGGGAAGAAAGUGACGGUACCUGAAUAAGAAGCCCCGGCUAACUACGUGCCAGCAGCCGCGGUAAUACGUAGGGGGCAAGCGUUAUCCGGAUUUACUGGGUGUAAAGGGAGCGUAGACGGCAAGGCAAGUCUGAAGUGAAAGCCCGGUGCUUAACGCCGGGACUGCUUUGGAAACUGUUUAGCUGGAGUGCCGGAGAGGUAAGCGGAAUUCCUAGUGUAGUGGUGAAAUGCGUAGAUAUUAGGAAGAACACCAGUGGCGAAGGCGGCUUACUGGACGGUAACUGACGUUGAGGCUCGAAAGCGUGGGG